CUCUUGUAUUGAAGAUAGUAAACUAAUGUAUCCAGCUUUUCCCAGGUCAUGAUGUUGUAUUUAUAUGGUUGCUCGAUUUUACGUUCUUCUUUAAGUCGAAAGAUCAACAGCCAUCUGAAGGAGCAGUCAAAAACACUUUCGUUCUCUGCUGAAGCAAGCAAAAUGUUGACUUCAAUUUUUUCUUCAUCGUGCCUACCUAUUUUAUGUUGAUCAUAAAUAAUAUUGUUAGAAAUAAUGUCAAAUGAUCAUGAACAGAUUAUUGUUUCGUUUAAAAAAACUAUGGCCGUUACAUUCUAAUAAAUAAGUAUGAGGUUUAUAAAUUGAAAAAAA